AAAAACUAAGGCCAGACCACAAUUUGCAAGAUGUAAGGGCCAAGAUUUUCCCAUUCAAAAGAAGAAAGGUGGAGGCAUCUGAAGUCACACCCACAGCUAUAUUACCAGUUAGAAGGAAGGAAAGAUCACUUUCAUCAUUGGUGGUCAGCACUCCCAAAGUAUCAACACAGACUACUACUACAGGAAGAAGAACAAAACCUGUUCCAAGAAAGGCUACUGCUUUACGAGGUUCCAGUUUUCCUAUUGAGAAACGCAUUAAAAAAGAGGAAGAUGCCAUGGAAGGCUGUAGCCUUUCUUGGAACAGGUUNNNNAAACCAUAAAUAAGUUCAAUCAGAAUCUAAGGCAGAAUUCUUCCUCUGCCGAGGCCAACCAACCUGCUCCCAAUAAUGAAACAGAUAAUGGUGCUGAAUCAUGGGAUGGGAAAUCAGAUCUCUGGCAACCAUUGAAUUGUUUAGUGGAAGUUGCAAAUAGGACCAAGUCUUUCAAACCUACUUCACAAGUUUCCGAUGCUAAACUGGAAUCUACUCAUGAUCCUGACAAUGAACCUCAUGUGCGUAAAACCAAAUUUAGGGAAAACAAAGACAAAGUAAAAGUAGAGGAUGAGAAUAAUAACAAUGAUUCUGUGCCUUCAGAGUCAACUGGACCCAAAAGGUUGCGCAGGAUUCGUCGAAAAAAGGCUUCUAAUUUUGGAUAUCUGGGCAUUUCCUCCC
rnacentral:misc_RNA from 1 species